CUUGGAGCCGGGCGAUGGCGUCCUCAGGGCGAAAGUGUGGCGUGGUGGGAGCCGGUGUUGUCACGUCUGUGACUCUCAGGUGUUCCCUUGAUCUGGCUUCCCAGGCUCUUGUCAAGUUAUGAAGAAUUGUGUGAGUGUGAAGACCAGCGGGGAGAUGGAGGCCACUUGAUGAAGAGCCUUGAGCCCACCCCUUAAAGGAACAAGGCGCGUUUCUCCCGAGGCUCUGACAGCUGGCUCCUUCAGCUUCAGCCCCGGUUAUUGAGAUGCAAAUGUGUGCCCGCGGGGAGCGCAGCUGCUGGCUGGCGCUGAGGCCCUCGCCCCAGGUGCAGCCCUACCGAGCCAGCGCCAGCGGGGGCAGCGACGCAGAUGACCCUCCCAGGACAAAUGGAACCGUGGACCCCGUGCAGGAGGAAAGGCAGGUCAACAGUGUAUCCAGCACUGGGGGGCCAGGAUGAGCCCCCCGCCAACCCGUGUGUGACCAGGAGCAGCCUGGAGUCCAGCAGAGGCAGGAGAGGAGGCCCUGGGAGAGGGCCCCCGGUUCUGCUCGCUCUCCUGGGCACCACGGCCACUGUGCUGUCCGCAGGGACCUGGAUGGAGCGGGGCUGUUCCCAGUUCACCUGUCAGCUUUGUCACCUGCCGGGCCAGGGAUUUCGGGCAAGUGACCGAGCCCGCUGGAGGCUAUCUUCCUGGGCAAGAAGGGAUGGCGACAGUGCUGCAGCCUCUGUGGACACUGGCUGCCCCAGCGUUGGCCACGCAUGCCUCGGCCCCUCUGGUGGAAGCGCUCUGAGAAGCCGGCUGUGAGGCCCAGCCCUGGGCACCCACAGAUCCUCAUGCGAGGGCCGUGCCAGGAGCCUGGGAAGGUUCCCCACGGGCUAUGCCCCAGCACAGGAUUCCCGGGCCUCGCUGUGUCAGCGGGGCCUCCCCACCGAGGGCCUCACCUGGAAGGCGGCGAACCACAUAAGCCAAUCCAGGCGGUGGUGGUACGGGGAGAUGAGGCAUGGCCGCCGCUUCAGGUCACCGGGCUUGCACUUGAACUCGUAGUCCUCCCACUUGGCGUCUGGCGCGCUGGCAUUGGGGCUGGCGGUGCCCUGCAGGAUGACCUCCGUGCGUUCCUUGGUGAUGCUGGGUGGGGGGGAGACCAGUCAGGGCUGCACCUCCCCACCCUGACCCCAACCCCUGACCUGACCAGACGAGGGCGAGGCUGGGGGGCUGCAGGUCAGGGCUGGCCUCACCCUCACAUCUCCCCCCUGGGGUCAUGGUGGCCCCGAGGUACCUGCCAAAGGCCCCAUAUGUGUUGACGAUCCGGAGAGGGUUGAAGGAGCUGUUCAUGACCUGCCGGGGGCUCAGCAAGUUGAGGACCACAGGGAUGCUGAGCCAGGCGACCAGGACGCCCAGCGCCAGGUUGACUGUGUGCCGUGCCACGCUGCCUGCCGGGAGGGGGAAUAGUGGGUGGGCUCCUGCCCCCAGGCCUGGCCUCUGUUCGGCCCCUUGGGCCCACAGAAGCCGAAGGAGAUGCUGCUGCCCCCACCACAGCAGCUCCCUCUUAGGCCCCCCCAGCUGAGGUCACUGGGCCUCCCUUCCUGAGGACCAGGACACAAUGUCCAUACCAAGCAGACAGGAGUGACCCUGUCCAGGCAUGGAGAUGCUGCCCUGUCUCCCAGGGCACUGGUGUGGGCACAGGGCUGGGUGCCAUCAACUCGAGACCACCCGGGCUGCCCAGCCGCAUCCGCCUUCAGGUGUCACCCACCGUGUGUCCAUGGGGCCCUGGCCCCUCGAGCUUCCUCCUCCUGCAUCCUCAGGACUUGGUCCUUGAGGCAGCCGGGCCCCGAGGGAAACAGGAAGCCCAGAGUGGCAUCAUCGAAGCAGGCGAGGCUGGGCACGAUGGUCAGCCAGUUCAGGAAGCUCAGAUUCCCGCUGAUGAUGAGGACCAUCUGGGGGUGGAGAGAGAGAUCCCUCCAGCCACUGCAUUUCAUGUGCUCCAUGGUGAUGCAUGGAGUCCACACCAGAGGCAUGGGGGUUGGGGGUCCUGUCCUUCCCAGCAGCAAUGUGCUGACCCCCAGGUGCCCAGGAGGCCAUGGCCCAGGCCCCAAGCCCCCCGACAGGCCACUUGCCCCGCCUCCCUCAGACCAACCCCACAAUGUCUACAUCCUAAAUGAUCUCAGAGGCAGACGCUACCCAGUGCCUCUGGUGAGGACCCCACCUACCAACACUGUGAUUCCGGCCUCUGACCCUGCUUGGAGGCCACUGAAGUUACACAACUGGGAGGUGACAAGUUUGUGUUUGUGGCAACUGUCACCGUGACUGUUAAUCAACAGGCCCUGGGUAGCCCCAGGACUCCAGCUGGCUGCUCAGUGGUCCACCCAGGUGUCGGGGCCAGGACCAGCCCCACACACCUGUGGUACGUGCCCCUCACAGGGGUGGGGGGUGCUUAGGACAGGCUUGUAAGUUGUUUUAGUGACUUGAAAAUGGCACUUUCCUGCCUGAUUUUGACCCUGUCGUCAAGGAUGCGGGCGGGAAUAGGGAGUGGGUGGUCUUCACUUGAGGGGAGGAGAAGAUGCGGGUGGGAAUAGGGAGUGGGUGGUCUUCACUUGAGGGGAGGAGAGGCUGCAGGGUUCACAUCCCGCCCUCCCUACCAGGUGCCAGGCUCUCCUAGAGCAAAGGUGGAACAGAGCAGCCCCGCUUGCCCCCCAGGCAGACGCCUCUGAUUGUGGAGCCCCAGGGACCCCAGUGCCAGCUGCACGCAGAGCUUCCUGUGGGCUGCACAAACGCGGGUGAGGAGAUUCCAGGUGACCACAGUGGGAGGGCAGGCUGGAGGCUGGGGAGGGCAAGAGGCAGAGCCGAGGGCUUCUGGGGUGCAGCCCAGGACACCCCCAUGCCUCCCUAAGCUGGAAGUCCUAGCAGAACCCGGAGCCAGUCCUCCGUCAGAUGUAUGACUGCCAGCUGCGGCCUUUUCAUUACACAGUUUUCAAAGAGGCGAAGUUUACGUUUUUAGGAAGUCCAAGUUAUCAAUUAAAAAAAACUUUACAAUUCUGCUUUUUGUGUCCCAUCUAAGAAAUCUUUUCCUCCUCCAAAGAUGUAAAGAUCUUCUAAAAGUUUUACAGGUCUGGCUAUUAUGUUUAGGUCUUGGAUCCAUUUCGAAUUAGUUUUUUAUGAAAGGUGUGAUAUAAGGUUCACACCAGCCGGCUCUGCUCUGGUCCAGGCUCUGCCCCUGGCUGGGGAGGUGGGGGUAAGACUUGGGAGGGACCAGGGCCUCUGGGAUGACCGGGGUGUUAGGUGCUGGGAGGUGAGAGCACACGGGUCCACGGCGGACGUGUGUAAAGGGAGACAAACUGCCUCAAGCAUGUGCCUCAGAAAAGGGGAAACAAGACACUAGGAGCCACAGGUCAGCAAAGUAGAAGGAAAUGGGGACCAGCACCACCAGCAAAUAAACCCACAAUGAAAAUGGUACAGUCGCCACAGUGACAAGAGAAAUAAGGAGAUUUUCAACUGUCCAACCAAAUGGACACAUUUCUGCAAAAAAAAGACCUGAACGAGCAGACAGCCCCUGAGUAGCAGAACGGCCAUGUCCCUGUCCAGGUCACUCACGCGCAUCUGCCGGGGUCCUGCGGGCCUCCCUGCACAGGAGCCGAUGGGUCGGAGCCACGUGGGGGCAUCGAGGAAGGAGGUGAGACCAAAGACCCAGGCCGGGGGCCCCACGGCCGGAUGAGACUCAGCUGACACCCAGCUCCCCAAUUUCUGAUUUGUAAUUAAAGCUGGGUCUUGAUCCUAGUGACUGGGGAGAACGUGAGGUCACAGACGCCGGCCUCAAAAGGGUCUGGAGAGAGAGGAGCUAGGCUUUCAAUAGGUCAGUUUUAUGGAUCACGAUAGGGUCUUACAGUGUGUGGCAGGAGAUGGUGUGGAUUCACAGCUCUUCCUGGAUUAAUUUGGAAAACCAGUUUUCCUGGUUCUGAGGCCCAAACUAAUUAUUUCUUAUUCUUCACUGUCUAGGAUGUUAACAAACCCCUGUGCCCAAAGUGUGCCCGCCCUGGGCUGGUGGUCUCUCCUGCAGCCCUGCCUGGCCUGUCGGGGUCCCUGGGCCUCUGGUCUCGAGCUGCUUCGGGCCGACUGGGCUUCGCCCUGGAGUUUCCUGAAAACUGCUGGCUCCCGACAGUCUGGGUUUGUGGUGCCGCCAGGCCCUCUUCCACUGCGGGGGUCCCGUGGCCUGGGCCCAGCUUCCCCGUGGACAGCACUGGGGGGGCCCGACCUUCAAUUCUCAUCUCCCAGACCAGCGAGACCUCAGAUGCUCCACUAGCUCCUCCACUGCGUCAGCAAGGGGCUUAAGGGGAACGGUCCCUGUGCCCCUCCUGACACCUCCUGACAAAUGCGUUUUGCUUUGGGGUGGGAUGGUCAGCUGCAUGGGGGUCCCCUUUUCUCCAUGGCUCAGCUGUGCAGCUAAGGCCACCAGGAGUGGUGAUCAAGGGUGAGAACAGGCCGCUUCCCCGAGGGCCUGCCAUCCUGGUGCAGCUGUCAGGGCCACAUGGGUGACAAGAGCCCUCUACUGCCUAAUUCUCGGAUGAGACGGCGGCCAAAGCUGGGAGAAGCACCCGGCGCAUGGCAGCCUCCAGCACCUGGCCUGGGGGCUCCUGCCUAUGUCCCACGGCCCUUGGGAAGGCAUGCGGGGAACAGCCCGCCUUGUUCGCCCAUCACACCACCCCUCAGGGCUGGUCCACACUCAAACCUGGCAGGCAACUGAUGGGCAGCUGUGUCCUCUGCAGCCACCAGCCCAAGCCAUCAGCACCCACCUCUCCACUGACACUCAAACUGCUGGGAAACAUGGCCACCAUAAUGCUGCAAAGCAGGGCAGCCGCGGGCUUCCUGGGGGGCCUACCUGCCCGAGUUCACCCCAGACGGCCUACUCACCAACCUCUCCAGGUGUAGCUGGUGCAGCCUACACCCUCGCUGAGGCACAGCCUCGCUUUGUGGCCACUCGGGGCUCCCGAGACCCCAGAGGCGUCCAGAGAAACCCAGACAAGACACUGCUAAUUUGAAGGACUGUGAUCAGUAAACGGCAUCUAUUCGUCUACACCCUCAUGUGUAACACGCACAACGUUAAAACCCUAACAGGUGAAAAGCAGAAUGAAUGAUGCUGAAGUCUGAAUUAGUGAUUCAGAAGAUUGAUUUGAGAAAUCCUUCCAGAAUGUGGUGCAGAAAUGGGAGAACCUUUGAGGGAAACUACAGAUUCAGCAGAGUCAAUGGCUACACAAUUGACUUUCCCGGAUGAGAAUGAUGUAAAAAUAGACUCGGCACUCUCGAGGCGGAAGGAGGCCUGGGCCUCAGGGGAUGAGGGGUGCAGGACCAGUUACCGGAGCAGGACCUGGGCCCACACAUGUUCUGGCCAUUUCUCGUUUCCAAGGAUGAAUCAUAAGUAAAACAGUAUAAGCAUUUAGACUGAAAAAUAUAAACAAUGAGAAGAAAAGGAAAGAAAAGUGAGGAAGGUGGCCCAAGGUGGUGGGACCCUUGAAGUAGUCGCCACUCACCUCCAUGAACAAGAGAAGUAGGCGGGCAGCAGUGGGAACAUAAAGGACGACCAGAAUGCAGCUGCUGGGCCUGGCCCCAACUGAGAGCUGAGCACAAGGCCUGGUGUCACCCUAGGACCCACUGCCCUGACCGAGGACAAGGCCCAAGGACAACCUGCCAGCCGCCCAUUUCCUCCUGCGUCUCCCCCUCCCAGGCGUGCACUUCCUCUUGCUCCACUGAGCUGACUUUCCCAAGACCCAACCUGCCCCCACCGCCGCCUCCUUUACCCUGGAGAAGCAGGGCUACCCCUCGGAACCCAGGUCCACGUCCGUCCUGCCUCAUCGCUCAGUGGCCUCACGUUGACUUCAAGGCUAAAACUCCACCAGCAACUCCUGCUUUAGGCCAAAAGGGAGGUAGCGGUGCUGGACCCUCAAAGCGACUGUCUGAGAUGCAGGCCUGGGCACUGAGGGAGGGCAGGGCAGGGGGCAGAGCCUGAAGCUGGGGGAGCUCGAGGGGCUGGCUUGCCACAUGCCACAUGGGUGCAGCAGCCAGGAGCUGUGGGUCCUGCCUGGGUCCCCGCAGCUGCUGAGCUCGCAGGGUGGAGAUUCUGUGAGGACAAGGAAAGCACACGACCAAGGCUGUUGCCAACGCUGAGCUCAUGUGGGUCUAGAGGACCUUCCAGUCCUGCGAACCCGUGUGGAGAGACGUGGAGAGCCAGGCCGAGGCCCUGUCCUGUGGAACUAGGCUGGCCCUACAGGGAAGGCACAUUCAGACCUGCCCAGGAGGCUCUGAAACUGAUUUGCAAGUCAAUUAGCUGCUGUCAGGAGAGAAUCAACAACACCAGUGUCCAGCACGCAAUCAAAAGUUAACAGACUCAAAAAAAAAAAAAAAAAAAAAAAAAGUUAACAGACUCCAAGUUGGUAGUUAGUAGCCUGCAAGGCACUAGCAGAGACAAAACAGGCUGGGAGCAGAGUCAGAAACCAGAGAUGGCCUGAAGCCAGUAGAUAAGAAUGUGAAAACAGCUACUGUCAAAAAUUAAGGGGUUUAGGGCUUCCCUGGUGGCGCAGUGGUUGAGAGUCCACCUGCCGAUGCAGGGGACACGGGUUCGUGCCCCAGUCCGGGAAGAUCCCACAUGCCACGGAGCGGCUGGGCCCGUGAGCCACGGCCGCUGAGCCUGCACGUCCGGAGCCUGUGCUCCGCAACGGGAGAGGCCACAACAGUGAGAGGCCCACGUACCGCAAAACAAAAACAAAAACAAAAAUUAAGGGGUUUAAAAGAAAACAUAGUCAUAAGAGAAAUAUGAAAAUGCCAAAGAAUAACCAGAUGAUAAUUUGAGAGUUUAAAAGGUAAUACAGGGACUUCCCUGGUGGUACAGUGGUUAAGAAUCCGCCUGCCAAUGCCUGGGAUACAGGUUCAAUCCCCGGUCUGGGAAGAUCCCACAUGCCAUGGAGCAACUAAGUCUGUGCGCCACAACUACUGAGCCUGCGCUCUAGAGCCCAAGAGCCACAACUACUGAAGCCUGUGCACUCUAGGGCCCAUAUGCCUCAACUACUGAGCCCACAUGCUGCAACUACUGAAGCCCGUGCACGUAGAGCCCAUGCUUCGCAACAAAAGAAGCCACUGCAAUGAGAAGCCCGUGCACCGCAACGAAGAAUGGCCCCUGCUCACUGUAACUAGAGAAAGCCCGUGCGCAGCAACGAAGACCCAACGCAGCUAAAAAAAAAAAAAAAAAAAAAAAAGGUAAUACUGUCAGUCCCCUACAUAUGAACCUUCAAGUUGUGAACUUUCAAAGAUGCGAACAUGUAUUCACAAGUCCAAUCACAUAAGUUAGUUCACGUGUCUGGCAUAUACUGUCAUGUGCGUGCAUCCUCUACAAGUAUUAUGCUUCUGUGUACUUUACUGUACAGUGCUGUAUAGAGUACAGUAUUACAGUAGCUUUAUUUCAAGCCCAGGAUGUCUGGAAGCAAGCGUAAAAGUGUUGAUGUAGCUGGUACUACUAAGAAGCACCAAGCGCCAAGAAAGGAUGAAGAGAGACAAGAGGAAGAAGAAGUAACUGAAGAACCGAAGAGAUUCACGGACGAUGCAGAAAAUGGCAAGGGGAUUUUCUUUAUUUGAGGAGGCACUGUUAGUUUUUGAGGCACAGGACCUGAAUGUAGAAUGGUAUAUGAAGGUUGCAGCAGCUGUUCAGAAUGCAAUCCAGUGCUACCAUGUCAUCUAUGAUGAGAAAAAAAGAGCUACUACCCAAACAUCACGGGAUCGUUUUUUCAAGAGGGUAGGUAGAAUUGAAUCCAGCCAGGAACCAGAACCUGUGCCAUAACGUCAGGCGAGAGUGAAACUGCAGCUUGCCCUCGUCUCCUAUUGCUGAUGAUCCUUCAGCUCUACCAUCUCCCACCUCCUCUCCCUCCUCCAGUCAGUAACUCUUCUUGCCUGUUCACUAGAUGCCAACCCCUGUAUGCCAGCUGUUGUACUGUACUACUGUACUUUUCAAGGUACUGUAAGAUUAAAAUUGUUUUAUUUUUUGUGUUUGUUUUUUAAGUAUUAUUUGUGUGAAAAGUAUUAUAAACCUAUUACAGUACAGUACUAUAUAGCCGAUUGUGGUAGUUGUGUACCUAGGCUAACUUUGUUGGACUUACAAAUUGGACUUAUGAACGUGCUCCUAAAACGGAACUUGUUCGUAUGUAGGGGACUUACUGAAUACAAAACAGAUAAUUUACUGGGUAGGCUUUUGACAAAACUGACACUGUAAAGGAAAAAGUCAGUGAAUAUGAGCCCAGAACAACAGGAACUUUGCAAAGUGAAGCACAAGGAGAAGCAAAGCUGAGCAGAGCCUGGGCAGCCCCUCAGGGCCUAGGGGACAGAACCCACUGGCCUGACAGACGUGUGAUUUAAGCCCCAGGAAGGGAAGGGGGCAGACACAACGUGAAGAAAAUUCUCCUCAUUGAAGAGAACUAUAAACGCACAGGUCACAGAAGCCUAAGAAAUCUCAAAGAGGAUAAACUCAAAGAAAGCCACACCUAAGGCACAUCAAACCAAAUUGCUGAAAAACUGUGAAAAAGGGAAGAAUCGUAGAAGCAGUCAGAGGGGAAAAGUCGCAGACAGAGGAGUGGGGCUAAGGGUCCUGCAGACUCCCCAGCAGAGACGCUGUGGGCAGAGACCAUGGACAGCUGAAGGGAAGACAUCCACCAGCAGCUUCUGCUAAGAAAUAUUAAAAAACCAAAUGAAACAUCCCUCAGGCAGAAGAAAAAUAACCAGGUUGCACACACAGGAGGGCAGGGGGCUGGACAUUGUAAGCCCGUGGGCGAUUUUUAAACACAGACAACCAGCUGUUUAAAUGAAAAGUCACAUGUUGUGGUUGCAAUUGUUGGAAUGAUGGCUGCAAAGAUUUAACAGUGAGUGAGAAUACGUGGUUGUGGCUGGGCACAUGCUCUCGUGGAGGGAAGACCCCACACGUGACCAGCAGGGACCCGUGGGGGUCCUUUCCUUCCCUUGUUUCUGUUCCAAACCAUAGUUAUUUUCCAUUCAAAAUGAGUGCCAUUGGGGAGACUCUUGGUGCCUCUGGACCCGUGAGGGCCACACCCCAGGGGUGCGGGUGCAAGGCCUCGGCCAGCGUGGCUCCCACAGCGGUGAUGCUGCACAGGCUUCCCCUGGCAUUGGUUUGGGACCCUGUCGUCCUGCUGGCUGUAGUCCAAGCCUUCCUGGAGGGACAGACGCCCAGGCCACCCCUGGUGGACCACAAUCCCGCCUACCCACCCACAGCGAACGGGGCGGCAGACCUGAUGGGGCCACUGGGGGCCGAGGAAGAGCCCCAGGGGAGGAGCCCAGCGGCUCAGCACUGUCAGGGCUGCGCAGUCAGCUCAGAGACCUGUGCCUUCCUGAGAGGGCAGCGUCCCCACCUCUGUAAAGGAAAACUGGAAAAAGCAGCACCCGCCCCCGCCCCGCGUGUGAGCACCGGAGAGAGACCAUCACCCUGUAGCCCUGGGGCCACGUGAGCGAGGACACGGCACAGCCUGAGUCAACCUUCUGAGGUCGGGCGCGAUGCUGUCCACUUGGCACGAUGACUUUGGCGGGCGGGGGCUUUGAGUUCUGCUUCCUGAGGAGGCUGUGCUGGUGCGGCCUCAGCCUUUUGCCCAGUGACCCCGUGACCUUCAGCCCUGGCUGCAGAUUCAGGUGCAGGAGCAGCGUGGGGCCAGCCCCAGGGAAAAUCAUUUCUCCAAACAGCUACAGGAGGGCCAGGCUCAUGAGCUGCCCCCACUGCGGGUCAGCGUCUAGCCAGGAUGCCCUUGGCACUGUUCUCUAGCUCCUGGCUCGGGCUCCCCCACUUUCGAGCUGAGGACGCAUCCUCCUGGCACGGCCACCCGAGCGGCCCUGACCCCUGCAUGUGGCAGGAAGAGCUCACAUUGGGAUGGGGCUGAAGCCCCUGAUGCCUGGUCCACACGCCAUGACCCGGAUUGUUCUGGUACAACAGGAUUCUCUCUCUGGCACAACAGGAUUCUCUAUCCCGGUGAGAACUCAGGAGGCUUUGUCUAAAGGCCACCAAGUGGCCGUGGGGUCCUUAUGACCUCUGAGUGAUGCCCGGCUUCCCUCCACCACCCUGGUCCAUUGGGGCCCAAAGACACCCCUCCCCAGUCACUCCACCCUGAGACCAGCUAGGGGGCUCUGACUCAGAGACUAGGGUUCACCAGAGCAGUUUUGGAGAUGGAACUCUGUUUCUAAUAAAGCAGCAGGAGGCCUGAGGAUUCAUAAUGCCGUCUUCGUGCCCUUGUCUGGCACACACUGGCUGUGACCCCACGGUGGGGGCCGGGUGGGAAGACGAGCUGGGAAGUGGGACCCCGGGCCCAGGAGACGCCCCUGAAGGAAGGGGCUAGGUGUCUGGGACUCCCCUGUUGGGCUCUGGGGUCCCAGGGCCUAGCAGAGGACAUGUGUGCUCGCAGAUGAUGUUCUGCAGCCAGGAGCCCCAGGACAGUUAUGCUGUGACCCCAGCUCCGGGUGGGUCACUCAGGGGCUGGUGGGGGCAGCUCUCUGCGCCCAAAGCCGUAAUGAUGUUCCCCACAGUGAUGUCCCCUGGUCUGUGGCCGACAUUACAGAGAUUAGAAAGAGCAGGACAUGGUGGGAGGUUGGGGAGGAGAGUCUGGGAUCUGAGAUGCGUCUUUGCACUGACUAGGAGCCACUAGCCUGGUGAGUGCCCGCUCCACGCCAGGAUGGGAGGUCCAGCCUGGCCUACAGUGGAAGCCGAGCACUGCCCCUCCAGCAUCUCUCCUUGGCAUUAGAGUGGGGGUCUGAGGCGGGGGUGGUGCGCCUCUCCAAGUAGACAACAGGCUGUCUCUGGAGGCCUUGCAGAACCUUCCGGAACAGCUGUGCAAACUGAGAGUGGGAGGAGGUGCGUGUGUGCUCACAUCCUCAACCCUCUCCCGGGGAACGAACGGAAACAAACAGAACCAGGGACCCUCGGGAUCGCGGGCGCGGAGACGGGAGCAACGUUCAAGUCCAGGGGUGGCCAGCACUGUGGCCUGCAGAGGGCCACGCGCCCCCAUGAGACUGCCCUGCAUGCCCCACGCUGCCUGCGAGGCUGGACACGUGCAGCUGGGCCAGGGGGCCAUUUGUCUUCUUUGCUCUGGACAGCUGAGGUCCGGCCCCUGGGGGGCAUCAGACCAGGCCUCAGAGAAGAGCCACAGCCCUGGGCCAUGUCCCACCUUGUCCUGGGCAUGGUGUGGGUGGGGGAGGAUGAUGCUCGGGACACACCUGGACUGAGGCUCCCAAGGCCUUGGGGGACAGAAGGCGAGUGCAUGGCCUGCCUUUGGGAAUAACGUCCAGGGCCGCAGGUUGGCAGCAAGGCCUUUCAAGGUCCUGUUCUGGCCCUACCCUGCCCAGUGUCCUUGUGCCACCGCUGUCCACCCGGGCACCAGACCCAGAAUCAGGUGGAGACUCAGUCAUGUGGCCUGAGCUGCUGGGAGCCGUCUAUACCUGAGUCCCCCCCACCUGCCCCGGGUCUGCACAGUCCCCCAUGGUGGAGGCGCCGGUGCCCCAGGCUGGGACACAGACUCAGCUGGGCUGGGUCCAGUUAGCGGGUCCUCAUCCUGAAGCACCAUGAGACUCAUGCCAAGUGAAUAAACAAGAACAUUUCGACGCUGCUGGGUCAAAGGUCAAUGUAAAUAUCUUCCCAAAUCCUAUUUUCAAGUAGCUGAACCCUUUCACCUGGACUAGUAAAUCAAACUUCCUUCAAAUGUGUUUUUUAAGUGAUAUGACAAUUUGCUUUUCUUCACUGCUUGCCAAAGGUGGGCUUCAGAUUAUUUGGACAGAAAGUGGUAGGUGGUCAGUACAGCCUGAGGGAUGUCUGGAGGGUCCCUAUAGGCUCAGUAGAGUUUACAGCCCUGAAAGGGUCCCAGUGGUCCCAGGCUUGUAAAAGUGGCUGAAGCAGCAACUAAUUAACGCACUGCAGCCUUGAGAGUGAUUCUUGGUCACCGUGGUGACCACACAGCCUAAGCAGACCCAGAUUCCUGCUGAGACUGUAUGCCAGGCAGGUCCUCCAAGUUGCCUUGGGGACUGGACCCAUGUUCUCCAUCAGCAGAGGAAGGUGGGAGCCUAUGGCUGGGCAUCCUUUGACAAUGGAGGAAGGUCCAGCAUGAGGCAGUGUCCAUGCUAGUGGACACUCACAAGGAUGCUUGAGCCUCUGUUUGGAGCUUCCUCCUGCAGCUCAGGAUGAUGGAGCCACUGGGCUGAAGUAUGCACAGGGAAGGGACAGUGCAGAGCACUCCUGGUCUCCUGGGGGUGUCCCUCACUGGAGACUGUUGGGAGCAAGGGUCACCCACCAGCCAGGAUUUUGCCCUCCAGCCAAGUCCGGAUAGUUUACGGAUAAACUGUGGUGCAUCCAGACAGUGGAAUAUCAUUCAGCAAUAAAAAACGCUCUCUCAACCCACGGAACGACACGAGGAACCUCAAAUGCAUAUUACUAAGGAAAAAAGCCAGUCUGAAAAGGCUAUAUCCUGGAUGAUUCCAACUAUAUGACAUUCUGGAAAAGGCAAAACUAUGGAGACAGUGAAAGGAUCAGUGGUUGCCAGGGGUUAGGGGCGGGAAAAGGAUGAAUCCAGGGAGCACAGAGGAUUUUUAGGGUAGUGAAAUGAGUCUGUAUGAUAUUAUGAUGGAUACAUGUAAUUUUACAUUUGUCCAAACCCAUAGAAUGCACAACACCAAGAGUGAACCCCAAUGUAAGCUGUGGACUUUAGUUAACAAUAAAGUAUCAAUAUUGGUUCCUUAGUUGUAAUAAAUGUAUCACACUAACCAAUGCAAGAUGUUCCUGAUGGGGAAACUGUGGGGGUGGUGGUGGAUAUGGGAACUCUAUACUCUCUCUGCUCAGUUUUUCUGUGAAUCUAAAAUUGUUCUUUAAAAAUCUAUUAAUUAAAAACAAAACAAAAUACAACUUAAAAUACUGGCAGCAAAAGCAGGUGAGCAGGGCUUCCCUGGUGGCGCAGUGGUUGAGAGUCUGCCUG